rnacentral:rRNA from 1 species
CUACACGACCGUACCGCAAACCGACACUGGUGCGCGAGAUGAGUAUUCUAAGGCGCUUGAGAGAACUCAGGAGAAGGAACUCGGCAAAUUGACACCGUAACUUCGGAAGAAGGUGUGCCUUUAGUAGGUGAAGUCCCUCGCGGAUGGAGCCCAAUGAGGUUGCAAAAAAUCGGUGGCUGCGACUGUUUAUUAAAAACACAGCACUCUGCAAACACGAAAGUGGACGUAUAGGGUGUGACGCCUGCCCGGUGCUGGAAGAUUAAAUGAUGGGGUGCAAGCUCUUGAUUGAAGUCCCAGUAAACGGCGGCCGUAACUAUAACGGUCCUAAGGUAGCGAAAUUCCUUGUCGGGUAAGUUCCGACCUGCACGAAUGGCGUAACGAUGGCCACACUGUCUCCUCCUGAGACUCAGCGAAGUUGAAAUGUUUGUGAUGAUGCAAUCUCCCCGCGGAAAGACGGAAAGACCCCAUGAACCUUUACUGUAGCUUUGUAUUGGACUUUGAACAGAUCUGUGUAGGAUAGGUGGGAGGCUUUGAAGCAGGGUCGCUAGAUCUUGUGGAGCCAACGUUGAAAUACCACCCUGGUGUGUUUGAGGUUCUAACCUAGGCCCGUAAUCCGGGUUGGGGACAGUGCAUGGUAGGCAGUUUGACUGGGGCGGUCUCCUCCCAAAGUGUAACGGAGGAGUUCGAAGGUACGCUAGUUACGGUCGGACAUCGUGACGAUAGUGCAAUGGCAUAAGCGUGCUUAACUGCGAGACUGACAAGUCGAGCAGAUGCGAAAGCAGGACAUAGUGAUCCGGUGGUUCUGUAUGGAAGGGCCAUCGCUCAACGGAUAAAAGGUACUCUGGGGAUAACAGGCUGAUACCGCCCAAGAGUUCAUAUCGACGGCGGUGUUUGGCACCUCGAUGUCGGCUCAUCUCAUCCUGGGGCUGUAGCCGGUCCCAAGGGUAUGGCUGUUCGCCAUUUAAAGAGGUACGUGAGCUGGGUUUAAAACGUCGUGAGACAGUUUGGUCCCUAUCUUCCGUGGGCGCUGCAGAUUUGAGGAAGCCUGCUCCUAGUACGAGAGGACCGGAGUGGACGCACCUCUGGUGUAUCGGUUGUCACGCCAGUGGCAUUGCCGAGUAGCUAUGUGCGGAAGAGAUAACCGCUGAAAGCAUCUAAGCGGGAAACUCGUUUCAAGAUGAGAUCUGCCGGGGCCUUGAGCCCCCUGAAGAGUCGUUCAAGACCAGGACGUUGAUAGGUCGGGUGUGGAAGCGCAGUAAUGCGUUAAGCUAACCGAUACUAAUUGCUCGUGCGGCUUGACCCU